rnacentral:rRNA from 1 species
GACGAACGCUGGCGGCGUGCUUAACACAUGCAAGUCGAACGGAAAGGCCCUGCUUUUGUGGGGUGCUCGAGUGGCGAACGGGUGAGUAACACGUGAGUAACCUGCCCUUGACUUUGGGAUAACUUCAGGAAACUGGGGCUAAUACCGGAUAGGAGCUCCUGCUGCAUGGUGGGGGUUGGAAAGUUUCGGCGGUUGGGGAUGGACUCGCGGCUUAUCAGCUUGUUGGUGGGGUAGUGGCUUACCAAGGCUUUGACGGGUAGCCGGCCUGAGAGGGUGACCGGCCACAUGGGGACUGAGAUACGGCCCAGACUCCUACGGGAGGCAGCAGUGGGGAAUAUUGCACAAUGGUCGGAAGCCUGAUGCAGCAACGCCGCGUGCGGGAUGACGGCCUUCGGGUUGUAAACCGCUUUCGCCUGUGACGAAGCGUGAGUGACGGUAAUGGGUAAAGAAGCACCGGCUAACUACGUG